rnacentral:lncRNA from 1 species
AAUGAUAAUAUUGUCAUUGAUGUUUAGUGUAAUAUGUUUAUUUCUUAUAUUGUAUGCUUUUUUCUUAUAUUGUAAUUUUAUUUAUAAAAAUAUUUGGAAAUAAUAAAAAUGUAAAACUUAUACAUUUAAAGAUAUAUGCUUAAUUUAAUUUUCUAUUUCAUAUAUUAUAUAUAUUUAUUAUAUAUUUUUUGUUAUAUUUUAUAUUUUUCUUAUUCUAACUGUUUUGCUUUUAUAUCAAAUUGUAAUAUUAUGAUACUUUUAAUGUUAUUCUAUUAUGAAUAUUUUGCAUAUAUUAUUCUAAUAUUAAUAUUUUUUUCUUAAUACUAUAUAUUUUCAGAUAAAUAUUUAAUUUAUUUUUUCAUUUCUUAAUUAUAUUUUUUAAAUUUGUUUAUUUUUCUUACGUUUUAUAUUUAUUUAUUCUAAUUUUCUUGCUUUUAUAUCAAAUAAUAAUAUUAUGAUAUAUGUUUAAUAUAAUAUUUUUAUUUUUUAUAUUGCAAAUUUACUUAUUAUUUAUGUUUCUUUAUAUUAUAUAUAUAAUUAUUAUAUAUUAUAUAUAUUUUUAGUAAUAAUGUCACAUAACAUCUUUUAGAAGAAGUACAAGGUGGACACUCUAUGGAACUUCAAAUAGUCAUCCCCUAUAUAUUAUUCCUCGAGCAUUACAACAUGUUUUCGUAACCACGUGUCAUCACAAGGAUGAUUCUUAGAAUUCUUAGAAAAAUAAGUUGGUUCAAAUAAACAUAUACUAUGAUUUUUUAUUAAACUAACUAUAAAAUUAAUUAAUAGUGUACAAAAAAGUAUUUUUCUUUCCUUAAAUAAAAGCUACGGAAUUACCUAAAAUGAUUAACACAUAUAUGACAAUUAAUGAUUAUGAAUAAUACAUAUUUGAUAACAAUGUGUGUAUCCUCUCUCUUUUU